rnacentral:misc_RNA from 1 species
ACAAUAUUAAUGACAAACAUAUUUUACAAAUUCCUAUAUUCUGGGAAGGUUAAUGAUGUGCAGCUACACACUCUUGUAGCUUCACGCAGUCAUAGACAACUAUUCUAUUUUGUCAGGAAGUUGUCACACAGCAUGCUGUAGCAUUGUGCAUACAUCUGACUUUUUCUAACCAUUCUAAAUUAGAGAUCUUUGUUUUUAAUUGA